rnacentral:rRNA from 1 species
AUUGAACGCUGGCGGCAGGCCUAACACAUGCAAGUCGAGCGAGCGGCGGACGGGUGAGUAAUGUCUGGGAAACUGCCUGAUGGAGGGGGAUAACUACUGGAAACGGUAGCUAAUACCGCAUACCAUCAGAUGUGCCCAGAUGGGAUUAGCUAGUAGGUGGGGUAACGGCUCACCUAGGCGACGAUCCCUAGCUGGUCUGAGAGGAUGACCAGCAACACUGGAACUGAGACACGGUCAAGACUCCUCCGGGGGGCAGAGGUGGGUAAUAUGGCACAUUGGGCGCGAGCCUGAUGCAGCGAUGCCGGGUGUGGGAAGUAGUCCUACGGGUAGUAAAGCACUUUCAGCGGGGAGGCGUUACCCUCAGAAGAAGCACCGGCUAACUCCGCGCCAGCAGCCGCGGUAAUUC